rnacentral:lncRNA from 1 species
GCAAAGCCUAAAAGAGAAGAGUUCAAUGUGCAAAGAACAAGUCAAACCACGAAGCCUGAUGAUUAUGAGACCGACCUGACAAGAUUUGAUAUGGAUAUCAUUAAACCACCACCACCACCACCAUCACCGCCGCCACCUCCGCCGCCGCCACCACCACCACCACCACCACCCCUUACUUUUGACAAAGUCAUUGUAAGACCCAUUCCUGCAGCUGAAAUUCCAGAAAAGCCUUCCACUAGACCUCUUCCUCUGACUUCUGUGAGGUGUUACACGGUUGCGUCUCUUCAACAAUAUACAAAUAGCUUUU